AUCCCUUGACAUCCUGCGAACUUUCUAGAGAUGGAUUGGUGCCUGCUUGCAGGAGCUUUCAUACAGGUGCUGCACGGCUGUCGUCAGCUCGUGUCGUGAGAUGUUGGGUUAAGUCCCGCAACGAGCGCAACCCUCGUCGUUAGUUGCUAACAGUUCGGCUGAGAACUCUAACGAGACUGCCUACGCAAGUAGGAGGAAGGUGAGGACGACGUCAAGUCAUCAUGGCCCUUACGACCAGGGCUACACACGUGCUACAAUGGGGUAUACAAAGAGCAGCAAUACGGUGACGUGGAGCGAAUCUCAAAAAUGCCUCCCAGUUCGGAUUGUAGUCUGCAACUCGACUACAUGAAGUUGGAAUCGCUAGUAAUCAUAGAUCAGCUAUGCUACGGUGAAUACGUUCCCGGGUCU
rnacentral:rRNA from 1 species